GUCGAACGGAGUAGUGUUCAACACCGAGUACUAACUAAAGUGUUGACCGACAGCGCAUAUGAGCGAACGAAGAGAGCUCAUUACGCAAAUAAAAGUGCCAACACCAAUGACGUAGAACUGGGUGUUGAACAUUACUUAGUGGCGAACGGGUGAGUAACGCGUAGACAACCUGCCUUCUAGAUGGGGACAACACUGCGAAAGUGGUGCUAAUACCGAAUGUUGCAUUGAGCCUGCAUGGGCUUGAUACUAAAGGUGGCCUCUAUUUAUAAGCUAUCACUAGAAGAUGGGUCUGCGUCUGAUUAGCUAGUUGGUGAGGUAAUGGCUCACCAAGGCGAUGAUCAGUAGCCGGUCUGAGAGGAUGAACGGCCACACUGGGACUGAGACACGGCCCAGACUCCUACGGGAGGCAGCAGUGGGGAAUCUUCCGCAAUGGACGAAAGUCUGACGGAGCAACGCCGCGUGAGUGAAGAAGGUUUUCGGAUCGUAAAGCUCUGUCUUUGAGGACGAAUGUGUCUAAUGUGAAUAAUGUUAGAUAAUGACGGUACUCGAGGAGGAAGCCACGGCUAACUACGUGCCAGCAGCCGCGGUAAUACGUAGGUGGCAAGCGUUGUCCGGAAUUAUU
rnacentral:rRNA from 1 species